CUGUGGAUAAGGUAGAAAGAUCUGUCAGUGUUCUAUAGUUCUCACGGGAGCAUUAAUUUGAAAUUACAGAGACGCUACAUGAUUUUAUUCCUGUCGUUUAGAGGCCGAUGGAGCUUCGGAAAAUUCCAGAUGCCUUAAAUAAUUGUCACGACCAUGGUUGAUGACAGUCAUCACUUCAUCAAAAUGUAAGGCGUGGUGGUCAAGGUGGUAUAAUCCUUAAUAGGGACCCACUGUUAACGAUCCCAGGCUGCAGAAUUUAAAGGGGUCCAGAGCACUGUUCACACACCUCACAAGUGGAAACCCUCAUCAGUCUUCAUGAUCAUUAGGGUUUGAGUUUCAAACGAGGCUGUCUCAGAGAAGCUGAUUUGUUUAGUGGUGGACUAAUUGGUUCAUUCAUGCAUGCACUGAUUGAUUCAUUGGUUCAUUCAUGAACUGAUUGAUUCAUUGCUUCCUCCAUGAACUGAUUGAUUCAUUAAUUGAUUCAUUCAUGCACUGAGUGAUGCGUUGAUUCACUUAUGAACUGGUGGAUUCAUGAAUGCACCAACUGAUUCAUUGAUUCAUUCAUGAACUGAUUGAUUCAUUGAUUCAUGCUCUGAUUGAAGUGGGUCCCAGAUGGUUUAGUCAUUAAAUUAAAAAGAAGAGGUGGGUGGCAACAUGACAGAGGGUCUGGCCUCUGGGCACUGGGGAUUAUGAAUACUGGGGUGUGUUUUUCCACUCCCUCUCCAUGUUUCUUUAUUUGUUUUCAAAUUCAAACUCCGGAUGAACUGGAAACUUGGGCCUGGACUGAAUCGAGCCUUUUUAUCCGCCCAACGGGCAGCAACUCGGUUCAGGUUGUCGAGCGAUCCGGAGGUUCGAACCCGCGUCGGGCCCGGUUCACAACAGCCGUGAAAACCGCAAAAGGCAGAAAGUUGGUGGUGGGGCCGUUAUUGUGCGAUGGUUUUCAGGUGAAGCUUUGGGGAAAAAAAAAAAACAUUCUAUUCCUCUGUGAAACCAGAGAAAUCAACAGUGGACAAAUACAAUUCUUGUUUGCAAUGAGGACCAAGAGACUAUUGCUUCAUACAGCAGGGCACCUACAGGCCCACUUAGGAGAGAAGUGGCUUAAGUGA
rnacentral:lncRNA from 1 species